UACGGAGGGUGCGAGCGUUGUCCGGAAUCACUGGGCGUAAAGGGCGCGUAGGCGGCGGGCCAAGCGUGCGGUGAAAGUCCGGGGCUCAACCCCGGAUCUGCCGUGCGGACUGGUUUGCUAGAGCACUGUAGAGGCGAGUGGAAUUCCGGGUGUAGCGGUGGAAUGCGUAGAGAUCCGGAAGAACACCGGUGGCGAAGGCGGCUCGCUGGGCAGUGGCUGACGCUGAGGCGCGACAGCGUGGGGAGCAAACAGG
rnacentral:rRNA from 1 species